rnacentral:rRNA from 1 species
AACGAACGCUGGCGGCGUGCCUAACACAUGCAAGUCGAACGGCAGCACAGGAGAGCUUGCUCUCUGGGUGGCGAGUGGCGGACGGGUGAGGAAUACAUCGGAAUCUACUCUGUCGUGGGGGAUAACGUAGGGAAACUUACGCUAAUACCGCAUACGACCUACGGGUGAAAGCAGGGGAUCUUCGGACCUUGCGCGAUUGAAUGAGCCGAUGUCGGAUUAGCUAGUUGGCGGGGUAAAGGCCCACCAAGGCGACGAUCCGUAGCUGGUCUGAGAGGAUGAUCAGCCACACUGGAACUGAGACACGGUCCAGACUCCUACGGGAGGCAGCAGUGGGGAAUAUUGGACAAUGGGCGCAAGCCUGAUCCAGCCAUACCGCGUGGGUGAAGAAGGCCUUCGGGUUGUAAAGCCCUUUUGUUGGGAAAGAAAUCCAGCUGGUUAAUACCCGGUUGGGAUGACGGUACCCAAAGAAUAAGCACCGGCUAACUUCGUGCCAGCCGCCGCGGUAAGAC